rnacentral:rRNA from 1 species
UACGUAGGGUGCAAGCGUUAAUCGGAAUUACUGGGCGUAAAGGGUGCGUAGGCGGCGCGGUAAGUCGGGUGUGAAAUCUCGGGGCUUAACUCCGAAACUGCAUUCGAUACUGCCGUGCUUGAGGACUGGAGAGGAGACUGGAAUUUACGGUGUAGCGGUGAAAUGCGUAGAUAUCGUAAGGAAGACCAGUGGCGAAGGCGGGUCUCUGGACAGUUCCUGACGCUGAGGCACGAAGGCCAGGGGAGCAAACAGG